rnacentral:rRNA from 1 species
UACGGGGGGAGCAAGCGUUGUUCGGAUUUACUGGGCGUAAAGGGCGCGUAGGCGGUCAGCACAAGUCAGUUGUGAAAUCUCCGGGCUUAACUCGGAAAGGUCAACUGAUACUGUGCGACUAGAGUGCGGAAGGGGCAACUGGAAUUCUCGGUGUAGCGGUGAAAUGCGUAGAUAUCGAGAGGAACACCUGCGGCGAAGGCGGGUUGCUGGGCCGACACUGACGCUGAAGCGCGAAAGCUAGGGGAGCGAACGGG